GUCAGGAUGGCCGAGUGGUCUCAGGCACUGCAUUCAGGUUGCAGUCUUCCCUGGAGGCGUGGGUUUGAAUCCCACUUCUGACA